CCACUGGCAUUAUUGAAAAUAAAUGUUCAUUUGAAGGGCAAAUAGUUCAAGUAAAACCAGGAGGUGGAAGUUCUAUUCGUUAAGAUAUUUUGUAAUUCUAAUUACGUGGCUGCCUAAUAUCCACGAACUAGAAAAUAUCUGUUACACCUUUCAUCAUCAAUAAGGCUUCUCUAGAAUAAGCAUGGAGCAAUUGAUUUAAUGAAGCCUCUUCUUAAGUUAUAACUCCCAUGCUGCACGGAUGAUCUCUGAAGAUUUUCAAUAAUUUCAUACCAUUUUAAGGUUUACCAUGGAUGAGAGAAGAUGGUGAUGCACUUGACAUUGUUGCCUUAUCUAGAAUGAAAUAAUUAUGUGCUGAAGUAAGCAAUAUUAAAGGUUACAGUUGUAUAUUCAAUGUUCUUAUUCUUAAUGAGAUGGACAAUUUAUCUCCCCAUGACCAUUGGGCUUAUCGUCCGUUUUUCUGAAUUUAUAGGUAAUUACUUAAAAGAGUCUCUAAAUCUAAACAAUAAGUAAUAUAUAUCUAUCCUCCACACAUUACAAAAGGACCUCUCUAAAAGCACUAAUAAAGAGAUCCUACACUUCACUGCUCAAUCCUCACUCUUCCGUGAAUUCUCUCGCAAAUUGGCCAUGAUUUUACUCCCCUGCUUUUUUGUUUCUCUAAACCUUCCUUUCUCCUACCAGUUCAAUUGGUAAAAUACCCUACCUAAAUUUUAUAACUGCUGAACUAACUGUGUAUACUUUCACUAAUUGCAGAUCUCUUUGGCUAAAUUUCGUCGCGAAUUGUGUAUCCAUGGUGUGUGUGUGUCGCACACAUUUUUAUAUGCUAAUUUAUUUGUAGAUUUGAUUAUGAUAUCAAUAAUUUAGUUGUAGAGAACAGUAUUUUAUUGGUCUUGUUUUGAGAUUCCGUAGAUAAUUAUUAGGUAUUACAAUUAUCAUAUUUAAUAUGAUAUUUUAUCAACUGUUUCUGUAUACUAUUAAUUUCUCUAUCGGGGUUCACUUUUGCCUAUCAAAGUUAGUCGCGUUGGUUCAAGCCCAUUAGUGCUCAUAUGAGGUAAUUAAUGAGAAAGGAUCAUGACAUAUGGUUAUUGUAUAUUGAGAAUGGCUUAAAGAACGUCGUCAGUAUAAAUAAAUUCAAUAAUUUCUAAAAACUAUUUCAAUGGGAACUUAUUUACGAAGUGAUUCUUGAAAUUUUUUCGUCGAAUACAAAAAUAUGUUUUGAGUGAUCUCAACCGACUUCAUUCAAGAUGUCUUUAUUAGCAUUAAUGCUUGAGCUGAAUUUCUUGAUUCCCCAAUUACUUUUUUUAUUAGUGUUGAGUUCUCAAGUUCUCUCUGAUUACAUAUUUCACUUGACAAGAGUUCUUCACAUGACAAGGGUGCUACAUGUGAUCUUCGUCAAGUAUGACAUAUCAAAUUUUUAAAUAUCAAGUGUUUUAUUCAAUUUUUCCUUAGAUUGUUUUUCUUAAGCAAGAAAUUUCAAAAUUUAAC
rnacentral:lncRNA from 1 species